CUCUCCCACUUUCUCGUCGGACAGCGAUUCGGUGAAUGUGUGCGUGAGAAGUUUUCUUGCACUUUUCCUCCCGUGUUCGGUUCGGAGUGCGGAGUGGAGUCCUCGCAGCAGCGAAAAAGAACCAGCAACGAGCCAGCUAGCUGCUAGCCAGCCAGAAGAGUUUUCCGUGUGUUGUGUGUCGCGUUGGAGUUGUGGCUGCUGAAUCUGCUGAGUAUUCCGAGUGCAAAGUGCUUCAACUGCGACUAGCGAGGUUCCGACAAGGAAGAAGGCAAAAACGGGGUUUCUUUGCUGCCUCUUUUGAGAUUGUGCAGUGCGCGGCGGUGGAAGUGGAAGAGCUCUCUCGCGGAGGCAGGAAAAAAGGCGAAAAAGUGUGUGUUGAAAAAGUUUUCUUUCCCCCGAAAAGAAACCUCCCAAGGAAGGAAAAAAAUAGUGAGUUUUUAUCAAAAAAGGAAAAGUUUCCCGGGGGAAUGCUGUGAGUCCGGUGGUCGGUCAGUCGGUUGAUGGAUUUGGAAAGUGGCCAGCUGUGUCCGAGCUAGAGAGCGCCCACGGCUUUCGGGACGGAAGAAGCAGACCAGGAAGAAAAACGCAGCAGUAGCAGUCAGCAGUCA